rnacentral:rRNA from 1 species
GUGCCAGCAGCCGCGGUAAUACGAAGGUUGCAAGCGUUACUCGGAAUUACUAGGCGUAAAGGGCAGGUAGGUGGUUUGGUAAGUCUAUUGUGAAAGCUCCCGGCUUAACUGGGAGAGGUCAAUAGAUACUGCCGGACUUGAGUAUAGGAGAGGUUACUGGAAUUCCCGGUGUAGCGGUGAAAUGCGCAGAGAUCGGGAGGAACACCAAUGGCGAAAGCAGGUAACUGGACUAUUACUGACGCUAAGCUGCGAAAGCUAGGGGAGCAAACAGGAUUAGAAACCCUGGUAGUCC